GGUUCCAUGGUGGAAUGGUUAGCACUCAGGACUUUGAAUCCUAGCGUUCCGAGUUCAAGUCUCGGUGGAGCCA
rnacentral:tRNA from 1 species